rnacentral:rRNA from 1 species
AUGAACGCUGGCGGCGUGGAUAAGGCAUGCAAGUUGAACGAUUUUCUUUUUUCUUGAAGUUGCGAUUACAUCAAGACCGAUUGAAAUUUGAAGAUAGUGGCGAACGAGUUAGUAACACCUUGGUACGUACCCUUAGGUUUGGUAUAGCUCGCCGAAAGGCGGGGUAAUCCCAAAUAGUCUCGCAAGAGUAAAGUCGCAAGACGCCUUUGGAGCGGCCUAGGUCCGAUCAGCUAGAAGGUGUGGUAACGGCGCACCUUGGCAAUGACCGGUAGGGGGGCUGAGAGGCUGAUCCCCAACGACGGCACUGAGAUACGGGCCGUACACCUACGGGUGGCAGCAGCCGAGAAUAUUCGACAAUGGGCGCAAGCCUGAUCGAGCGACGCCGCAUGCAGGAUGAAGGUCCUCGGAUCGUAAACUGCUUUUCUACGGGAAGAAUUUUUGACGGUACCGUAGGAAUUAGGAGCUGCAAACUACGU